rnacentral:rRNA from 1 species
CCUACGGGAGGCUGCAGUGGGGAAUAUUGGACAAUGGGCGAAAGCCUGAUCCAGCCAUGCCGCGUGUGUGAAGAAGGCCUUCGGGUUGUAAAGCACUUUCAGUGGGGAAGAAAGCCUUGGGGCUAAUACCCUCGAGGAAGGACAUCACCCACAGAAGAAGCACCGGCUAACUCCGUGCCAGCAGCCGCGGUAAUACGGAGGGUGCGAGCGUUAAUCGGAAUUACUGGGCGUAAAGCGCGCGUAGGCGGUCUGAUAAGCCGGUUGUGAAAGCCCCGGGCUCAACCUGGGAACAGCAUCCGGAACUGUCAGGCUAGAGUGCAGGAGAGGAAGGUAGAAUUCCCGGUGUAGCGGUGAAAUGCGUAGAGAUCGGGAGGAAUACCAGUGGCGAAGGCGGCCUUCUGGACUGACACUGACGCUGAGGUGCGAAAGCGUGGGUAGCAAACAGGAUUAGAUACCCGAGUAGUC